CUACGGGAGGCAGCAGUGGGGAAUAUUGCACAAUGGGCGCAAGCCUGAUGCAGCCACGCCGCGUGAAGUGAAGACGGUCUUCGGAUUGUAAACUUCUAUCAGCAGGGGAAGAAAAUGACGGUACCUGACCUAAGAAGCCCCGGCUAACUACGUGCCAGCAGCCGCGGUA
rnacentral:rRNA from 1 species